rnacentral:rRNA from 1 species
AGGGGCAGCAUGGUCUUAGCUUGCUAAGGCCGAUGGCGACCGGCGCACGGGUGAGUAACACGUAUCCAACCUGCCGUCUACUCUUGGACAGCCUUCUGAAAGGAAGAUUAAUACAAGAUGGCAUCAUGAGUCCGCAUGUUCACAUGAUUAAAGGUAUUCCGGUAGACGAUGGGGAUGCGUUCCAUUAGAUAGUAGGCGGGGUAACGGCCCACCUAGUCUUCGAUGGAUAGGGGUUCUGAGAGGAAGGUCCCCCACAUUGGAACUGAGACACGGUCCAAACUCCUACGGGAGGCAGCAGUGAGGAAUAUUGGUCAAUGGGCGAGAGCCUGAACCAGCCAAGUAGCGUGAAGGAUGACUGCCCUAUGGGUUGUAAACUUCUUUUAUAAAGGAAUAAAGUCGGGUAUGGAUACCCGUUUGCAUGUACUUUAUGAAUAAGGAUCGGCUAACUCCGUGCCAGCAGCCGCGGUAAUACGGAGGAUCCGAGCGUUAUCCGGAUUUAUUGGGUUUAAAGGGAGCGUAGAUGGAUGUUUAAGUCAGUUGUGAAAGUUUGCGGCUCAACCGUAAAAUUGCAGUUGAUACUGGAUAUCUUGAGUGCAGUUGAGGCAGGCGGAAUUCGUGGUGUAGCGGUGAAAUGCUUAGAUAUCACGAAGAACUCCGAUUGCGAAGGCAGCCUGCUAAGCUGCAACUGACAUUGAGGCUCGAAA